rnacentral:rRNA from 1 species
GACGAACGCUGGCGGCGUGCUUAACACACGCAAGUCGAACGGAAAGGCCCUGCUUUUGUGGGGUGCUCGAGUGGCGAACGGGUGAGUAACACGAGAGUAACCUGCCCUUGACUUUGGGAUAACUUCAGGAAACUGGGGCUAAUACCGGAUAGGAGCUCCUGCUGCAUGGUGGGGGUUGGAAAGUUUCGGCGGUUGGGGAUGGACUCGCGGCUUAUCAGCUUGUUGGUGGGGUAGUGGCUUACCAAGGCUUUGACGGGUAGCCGGCCUGAGAGGGUGACCGGCCACAUUGGGACUGAGAUACGGCCCAGACUCCUACGGGAGGCAGCAGUGGGGAAUAUUGCACAAUGGGCGGAAGCCUGAUGCAGCAACGCCGCGUGCGGGAUGACGGCCUUCGGGUUGUAAACCGCUUUCGCCUGUGACGAAGCGUGAGUGACGGUAAUGGGUAAAGAAGCACCGGCUAACUACGUG